UAUUUUCGGGGCGAGGUGCAAUUCCUCACCGGCAGUUAAAGUCUGCGACCCGCUGUAUGCGGCUGAUUGGGUGAAAUUCCCAUACCGACGGUUAAAGUCCGGAUGAGAGAAAAUG
rnacentral:ncRNA from 1 species